rnacentral:rRNA from 1 species
UACGUAGGGGGCAAGCGUUGGUCCGGAUUUAUUGGGCGUAAAGAGCUCGUAGGCGGUUUGGUAAGUCAGGUGUGAAAUCUCCACGCUCAACGUGGAGGGGCCACCUGAUACUGCCAUGACUGGAGUCCGGUAGAGGAGUGUGGAAUUCCCGGUGUAGCGGUGAAAUGCGCAGAUAUCGUAAGGAAGACCAGUGGCGAAGGCGGGUCUCUGGACAGU